UUGGGAUAUAGGUAUAAAAAUAUUAUUUUUUUAUUUGAAACUUACUGUUUUAAAUUUGAUAAAAUUUAUUUAACAUGAGUAGAUUGUGAAACAGAUGGAAUGUUGCAUUCAACGUUCAUCAUGUAUCGACGAGAGUGGCACGGAUUUAUAGGUGCUAGUUGGAUACAUUAGUUGGUACAUAUAAACGAAUAAAUUUUAAAUUUUUUAUAAAUAUCAUUUUACAGUAUUUAUAAUCUAUUAAAAUUUUAGCUUACUAAUUUUUUUAUUUUAACUCUAUCAAUUUUUGUGGGAGCCAUAUACAG
rnacentral:lncRNA from 1 species